UCAGAACUAACAAGAAUGAUAACAUGCUCCGACUGGAGCGGUUUAGGAACUGCUGGAAGGCUCUAGGGGAAUAAAGAUGGAAUGACUUCUAAUUUUUAGGUCCGUAUGAUUUGAAAUACUUGCACACAAACCACGCGAAAGCGUUCCUGGAAAUCUCAGCCCAAAAAAGGACGUUUAGUAAUUCUAAAAGGGACUACAGGAUGAAAAACAAUAGUUUUGGCAGUUAAAGUUUGAGAUUCGACAGUGCCGUAGAUCCGUUUGGUCAUCAGGUAUUACGAGCCACACCCAUGUCUAGCUAGAAUAGUGUGCUAGGCUCAGGCUAGAGAAGAAACGGGGAACAAACUGAUGAAAGAAUGAUCAAACCGAGGGAAUUCACUCAGAACUAACAAUAAUGAUAACGUGCUCCGACUGGUGCGGUUUAGGAACUGCUGGAAGGCUCUAGGGGAAUAAAGAUGGAAUGACUUCUAAUUUUUAGGUCCGUAUGAUUUGAAAUACUUGCACACAAACCGCGCGAAAGCGUUCCUGGAAAUCUCAGCCCAAAAAAGGACGUUUAGUAAUUUUAAAAGGGACUAUAGGAUGAAAAACAAUAGUUUUGGCAAUUAAAGUUUGAGAUUCGACGGUGUCGUAGAUCCGUUUGGUCAUCAGGUGUUACGAGCCACACCCAUGUCUAGCUAGAAUAGUAUGUCAGGCUCAGGUUAGAGUAGAAACGGGGAACAAACUGAUGAAAGAAUGAUCAUACCAAGGGAAUUCACUCAGAACUAUCAAGAAUGAUAACGUGCUCCGACUGGAGUGAUUUAGGAACUGCUGGAAGGCUCUAGGGGAAUAAAGAUGGAAUGACUUCUAAUUUUUACGUCCGUAUGAUUUGAAAUACUUGCACACAAAUCACGCAAAAGCGUUCCUGGAAAUCUCAGCCUAAAAAAGGACGUUUAGUAAUUCUAAAAGGGACUACAGGAUGAAAAACAAUAGUUUGGGCAGUUAAAAUUUGAGAUUCGACGGUGCCGUAGAUCCGUUUGGUCAUCAGGUGUUACGAGCGACACCCUUGUCUAGCUAGAAUAGUGUGUUAGGCUCAGACUAGAGAAGAAACGGGGAACAAAGUGAUGAAAGAAUGAUCAUACCGAGGGAAUUCACUCAGAACUAACAAGAAUGAUAACGUGCUCCGACUGGAGCGGUUUAGUAACUGCUGGAAGGCUCUAGGGGAAUGAAGAUGGAAUGACUUCUAAUUUUUAGGUCCGUAUGAUUUGAAAUACAUGCACACAAACCCUGAGAAAGCGUUCCUGGAAAUCUCGGUCGAAAAAAGGAUGUUUAAUAAUUCUAAAAGGGACUACCGGAUGAAAAACAAUAGUUUUGGCAGUUAAAGUUUGUGAUUCGAUGGUGCCGUAGAUCUGUUUGGUCAUCAGGUGUUACGAGCCACACCCAUGUCUAUCUAGAAUAGUGUGUUAGGCUCAGGCUAGAGCAGAAACGGGGAACAGACUUAUGAAAGAAUGAUCAUACCGAGGGAAUUCACUCAGAACUAACAAGAAUGAUAACGUGCUCCGACUGGCGCGGUUUAGGAACUGCUGGAAGGCUCUAGGGGAAUAAAGAUGGAAAGACUUCUAAUUUUUAGGUCCGUAUGAUUUGAAAUACUUGCACACAAACCGCACGAAAGCGUUCCUGGAAAUCUCAGCCUAAAAAGGAUGUUUAGUAAUUCUAAAAGGGACUACAAGAUGAAAAAUAAUAGUUUGGGCAGUUAAAAUUUGAGAUUCGACGAUGCCGUAGAUCCGUUUGGUCAUCAGGUGUUAUGAGCCACACCCAUGUCUAGCUAGAAUAGUGUGUUAGGCUCAGGCUAGAGAAGAAACGGGGAACAAACUGAUGAAAGAAUGAUCAUACCGAGGGAAUUCACUCAGAACUAACAAGAAUGAUAACGUGCUCCGACUGGAGCAGUUUAGAAACUGCUGGAAGGCUCUAAUGGAAUAAAGAUGGAAUGCCUUCAAAUUUCUAGGUCCGUAUGAUUUGAAAUACUUGCACACAAACCGCUCGAAAGCGUUCCUGGAAAUCUCAGCCCAAAAAAGGACGUUUAGUAAUUCUAAAAGGGACUACAGGAUGAAAAACAAUAGUUUUGGCAGUUAAAGUUUGAGAUUCGAUGGUGCCGUAGAUCCGUUUGGUCAUCAGGUGUAACGAGCCACACACAUGUCUAGCUAGAGUAGUGUGCUAGGCUCAGACUAGAGAAGAAACGGGGAACAAAGUGAUGAAAGAAUGAUCAUACCGAGGGAAUUCACUCAGAACUUACAAGAAUGAUAACGUGCUCCGACUGGAGCGCUUUAGUAACUGCUGGAAGGCUCUAGGCGAAUAAAGAUGGAAUGACUUCUAAUUUUUAGGUCCGUAUGAUUUGAAAUACUUGCACACAAACCACGCAAAACCGUUCCUAGAAAUCUCGGUCGAAAAAAGGACGUUUAGUAAUUCUAAAAGGGACUACAGGAUGAAAAACAAUAGUUUUGGCAGUUAAAGUUUGAGAUUCGAUGGUGCCGUAGAUCCGUUUGGUCAUCAGGUGUUACGAGCCACACCCAUGUCUAGCUAGAGUAGUGUGCUAGGUUCAGACUAGAGAAGAAACGGGGAACAAAGUGAUUAAAGAAUGAUCAUACCGAGGGAAUUCACUCAGAACUAACAAGAAUGAUAACGUGCUCCGACUGGAGCGGUUUAGGAACUGCUGGAAGGCUCUAGGGGAAUAAAGAUGGAAUGACUUCUAAUUUUUACGUCCGUAUGAUUUGAAAUACAUGCACACAAACCACGCAAAAGCGUUCCUGGAAAUCUCAGCCUAAAAAAGGACGUUUAGUAAUUCUAAAAGGGACUACAGGAUGAAAAAUAAUAGUUUGGGCAGUUAAAAUUUGAGAUUCGACGCUGCCGUAGAUCCGUUUGGUCAUCAGGUCUUACGAGCCACACCCAUGUCUAGCUAGAAUAGUGUGUUAGGCUCAGGCUAGAGAAGAAACGGGGAACAAACUGAUGAAAGAAUGAUCAUACCGAGGGAAUUCACUCAGAACUAACAAGAAUGAUAACGUGCUCCGACUGGAGCAGUUUAGAAACUCCUGGAAGGCUCUAGGGGAAUAAAGAUGGAAUGACUUCAAAGUUUUAGGUCCGUAUGAUUUGAAAUACUUGCACACAAACCGCGUGAAAGCGUUCCUGGAAAUCUCAACCCAAAAAAGGGCGUUUAGUAAUUCUAAAAGGGACUACAGGAUGUAAAACAAUAGUUUUGGCAGUUAAAGUUUGAGAUUCGAUGGUGCCGUAGAUCCGUUUGGUCAUCAGGUGUAACGAGCCACACCCAUGUCUAGCUAGAGUAGUGUGCUAGGCUCAGACUAGAGAAGAAACGGGGAACAAAGUGAUGAAAGAAUGAUCAUACCGAGGGAAUUCACUCAUAACUAACAAGAAUGAUAACGUGCUCUGACUUGAGCGGUUUAGGAACUGCUGGAAGGCUAUAGGGGAAUAAAGAUGGAAUGACUUCAAAUUUUUAGGUCCGUAUGAUCUGAAAUACUUGCACACAAACCGCGAGAAAGCGUUCCUGGAAAUCUCAACCCAAAAAAGGACGUUUAGUAAUUCUAAAAGGGACUACAGGAUGAAAAACAAUAGUUCUGGCAGUUAUUGUUUGAGAUUCGAUAAUCUCGUAGAUCCGUUUGGUCAUCAGGUGUAACGAGCCACACCCAUGUCUAGCUAGAGUAGUGUGCUAGGCUCAGACUAGAGAAGAAACGGGGAACAAACUGAUGAAAGAAUGAUCAUACCGAGGGAAUUCACUUAGAACUAACAAGAAUGAUAACGUGCUCCGACUGGAGCGGUUUAGGAACUGCUGGAAGGCUCUAGGGGAAUAAAGAAGGAACGACUUCUAAUUUUUAGGUCCGUAUGAUUUGAAAUAUGUGCACACAAACCACGAGAAAGCGUUCCUAGAAAUCUCGGCCCAAAAGAGGACGUUUAGUAUUCUAAAAGGGACUACAGAAUGAAAAACAAUAGUUUUGGCAGUUAAAGUUUGAGAUUUGACGGUGCCGUAGAUCUGUUUGGUCAUCAGGGGUUACGAGCCACACCCAUGUCUAGCUAGAAUAGUGUGUUAGGCUCAGGCUAGAAAAGAAACGGGGAACAAAGUGAUGAAAGAAUGAUCAUACCGAGGGAAUUCACUCAGAACUAACAAGAAUGAUAACAUGCUCCGACUGGAGCGGUUUAGGAACUGCUGGAAGGCUCUAGGGGAAUAAAGAUGGAAUGACUUCUAAUUUUUAGGUCCGUAUGAUUUGAAAUACUUGCACACAAACCGCGCGAAAGCGUUCCUGGAAAUCUCAGCCCAAAAAAGGACGUUUAGUAAUUCUAAAAGGGACUACAGGAUGAAAAACAAUAGUUUUGGCAGUUAAAGUAUGAGAUUCAACGGUGCCGUAGAUCCGUUUGGUCAUUAGGUGUUACGAGCCACACCCAUGUCUAGCUAGAAUAGUGUGCUAGGCUCAGGCUAGAGAAGAAACGGGGAACAAACUGAUGAAAGAAUGAUCAAACCGAGGGAAUUCACUCAGAACUAACAAUAAUGAUAACGUGCUCCGACUGGAGCGGUUUAGGAACUGCUGGAAGUCUCUAGGGGAAUAAAGAUGGAAUGACUUCUAAUUUUUACGUUCGUAUGAUUUGAAAAACUUGCCCAUAAACCGCGCGAAAGUGUUCCUGGAAAUCUCAGCCCAAAAAAGGACGUUUAGUAAUUUUAAAAGGGACUACACGAUGAAAAACAAUAGUUUUGGCAGGUAAAGUUUGAGAUUCGACAGUGCCGUAGAUCCGUUUGGUCAUCAGGUGUUACGAGCCACACCCAUGUCUAGCUAGAAUAGUAUGUUACGCUCAGGUUAGAGAAGAAACGGGGAACAAACUGAUGAAAGAUGAUCAUACCAAGGGAAUUCACUCAGAACUAACAAGAAUGAUAACGUGCUCCGACUGGAGCGGUUUAGGAACUGCUGGAAGGCUCUAGGGGAAUAAAGAUGGAAUGACUUCUAAUUUUUACGUCUGUAUGAUUUGAAAUACUUGCACACAAACAACGCAAAAGCAUUCCUGGAAAUCUCAUCCUAAAAAAGGACGUUUAGUAAUUCUAAAAGGGACUACAGGAUGAAAAAUAAUAGUUUGGGAAGUUAAAAUUUGAGAUUCGAUAGUGCCGUAGAUCCGUUUGGUCAUCAGGUGUUAGGAGCCACACCCAUGUCUAGCUAGAAUAGUGUGUUAGGCUCAGGCUAGAGAAGAAACAGGGAACAAACUGAUGAAAGAAUGAUCAUACCGAGGGAAUUCACUCAGAACUAGCAAGAAUGAUAACGUGCUCCGACUGGAGCAGUUUUGAAACUGCUGGAAGGCUCUAGGGGAAUAAUGAUGGAAUGACUUCUAAGUUUUUGGUCCGUAUGAUUUGAAAUACGUGCACACAAACCCAGAGAAAGUGUUCUUGGAAAUCUCGGCCGAAAAAAGGAUGUUUAAUAAUUCUAAAAGGGACUACAGGAUGAAAAACAAUAGUUUUGGCAGUUAAAGUUUGUGAUUCGAUGGUGCUGUAGAUCUGUUUGGUCAUCAGGUGUUAUGAGCCACACCCAUGUCUAGCUAGAACAGUGUGUUAGGCUCAGGCUAGAGCAGAAACGGGGAACAAACUUAUGAAAGAAUGAUCAUACCGAGGGAAUUCACUCAGAACUAACAAGAAUGAUAACGUGCUCCGACUGGAGAGGUUUAGGAACUGCUGGAAGGCUCUAGGGGAAUAAAGAUGGAAUGACUUCAAAUUUUUAGGUCUGUAUGAUCUGAAAUACUUGCACACAAACCGCGAGAAAGCGUUCCUGGAAAUCUCAGCCCAAAAAAGGACGUUUAGUGAUUCUAAAAGGGACUACGGGAUAAAAAACAAUAGUUUUGGCAGUUAAAGUUUGAGAUUCGAUAAUGCCGUAGAUCCGUUUGGUCAUCAGGUGUAACGAGCCACACCCAUGUCUAGCUAGAGUAGUGUGCUAGGCUCAUACUAGAGAAGAAAUGGGGAACAAACUGAUGAAAGAAUGAUCAUACCGAGGGAGUUCACUCAAAACUAACAUGAAUGAUAACGUGCUCCGACUGGAGCGGUUUAGGAACUGCUGGAAGGCUCUAGGGGAAUAAAGAUGGAAUGACUUCUAAUUUUUAGGUCCGUAUGAUUUGAAAUACAUGCACACAAACCCCAAGAAAGCGUUCCUGGAAAUCUCGCCCCGAAAAACGACGUUUAGUAAUUCUAAAAGGGACUAUAGGAUGAAAAACAAUAGUUUUGGCAGUUAAAGUUUGAGAUUUGACGGUGCCGUAGAUCUGUUUGGUCAUCAGGUGUUACGAGCCACACCCAUUUCUAGCUAGAAUAGUGUGUUAGGCUCAGGCUAGAAAAGAAACGGGGAACAAAGUGAUGAAAGAAUGAUCAUACCGAGGGAAUUCACUCAGAACUAACAAGAAUGAUAACAUGGUCCGACUGGAGCGGUUUAGGAACUGCUGGAAGGCUCUAGGGGAAUAAAGAUGGAAUGACUUCUAACUUUUAGGUCCGUAUGAUUUGAAUUACUUGCACACAAACCGCGCGAAAGCGUUCCUGGAAAUCUCAGCCCAAAAAAGGACGUUUAGUAAUUCUAAAAGGGACUACAGGAUGAAAAACAAUAGUUUUGGCAGUUAAAGUUUGAGAUUCGACGGUGCCGUAGAUCCGUUUGGUCAGCAGGUGUUACGAGCCACACCCAUGUCUAGCUAGAGUAGUGUG
rnacentral:lncRNA from 1 species